rnacentral:rRNA from 1 species
GACGAACGCUGGCGGCGUGCUUAACACAUGCAAGUCGAACGGAAAGGCCCUGCUUUUGUGGGGUGCUCGAGUGGCGAACGGGUGAGUAACACGUGAGUAACCUGCCCUCGACUUUGGGAUAACUUCAGGAAACUGGGGCUAAUACCGGAUAGGAGCCCCUGCUGCAUGGUGGGGGUUGGAAAGUUUCGGCGGUUGGGGAUGGACGCGCGGCUUAUCAGCUUGUUGGUGGGGUAGUGGCUUACCAAGGCUUUGACGGGUAGCCGGCCUGAGAGGGUGACCGGCGACAUUGGGACUGAGAGACGGCGCAGACGCCAACGGGAGGCAGCAGUGGGGAGUAUUGCGCAAUGGGGGGAAGCCUGAGGCGGCAACGCCGCGUGCGGGAUGACGGCCUUCGGGUUGUAAACCGCUUUCGCCUGUGACGAAGCGUGAGUGACGGUAAUGGGUAAGGAAGCACCGGCUAACUACGUG